rnacentral:lncRNA from 1 species
AGCCCAUAACUGUGAUUUUCCUGGCUCUGUCUACUCUGCUGCUUUAGUUACUAUCGUUUUGCAGUGGGCACAGGACCACAGGCUCCCGUGUGUGAGCACAUUUUAUAGAAAGCUAAGGUUCAGACACUGCAGAUCACAGAGUAUGGGGCAAAUGAGAUCAUGAAUGCAGUUCUUCAGACUUCAACCGUGAUGCAACUUAGUUUGUUUUUGGUUUCUAUUUUUUCAGUGCACUAAGUUUCCAGAGAGUGGUCGCUACAUAACUAACAUAGGUCUCUGAGACGAGAUGAGUUUUGGAGAAGAGUCAUGGGCAUGGAGUUAGGGACAUUUUCACAGCCCUGUGCAAAAUGAAAAUUUCAUCUUUAGUUAAUAUUACUUAGUAGGUCUCACUUCUGGAACACCUACUACAGGACCUAGGCAAGACCUCAAAACCUUUGCUGACUGAAUUCUUAUAAGACCAUACUGCCAGCUAGAUACCCAUAUAAUACGGGGGGGGGGGGUUGUCAGUGCCCACAAAGUACCAUACAGGCAGCGAGAUGCAGCAGAGAAGAUCCUCAGCCCCGCAAGCAACUUGCUCAAAGUCACAGAACAAAUCAGUAGCCACCACUAAGAAAUGGCUGAGUCAGGACUCGGAGUCAGGUUUGUCUGACUCCAAAAUGUAUAUACUCUUGGGGCCGGUGAGAUGGCUCAGUGAGUAAAGGAGCUUGCUGCCCAUCCUCGAAACUUUGUGUUUCACCACAGCAGCUAGCACAGUGGAACGUGAAACUGAUUCACACAAGUUGUCUUUUGAUCUCCAUAGAAGUACCAGGGCGCGUAUGUGUGUGGGUGUGUGGGUGUGUGUGCGCGCACGUGCACACACACAUGCACACAUAAACUAAAAAAUC